CGCGGGAUGGAGCAGCAUGGUAGCUCGUCGGGCUCAUAACCCGAAGGUCGUCGGUUCAAAUCCGGCUCCCGCAACCA
rnacentral:tRNA from 161 species